CCUACGGGUGGCAGCAGGGGGGAAUAUUGCGCAAUGGGCGAAAGCCUGACGCAGCGACGCCGCGUGAGGGAUGAAGGUCUUCGGAUCGUAAACCUCUGUCAGCAGGGAAGAACGGUCACUGUGCUAAUCAGCAGUGCAUUGACGGUACCUGCAAAGGAAGCACCGGCUAACUCCGUGCCAGCAGCCGCGGUAAUACGAAUGGGGCGAGCGUUAAUCGGAAUUACUGGGCGUAAAGCGCUCGUAGGCGGUAUGUCAAGUCAAGGGUGAAAUCCCCGCGCUCAACGUGGGAACUGCCUUGGAAACUGGCAGACUGGAGUGUGUGAGAGGAUAGUGGAAUUCCAGGUGUAGGGGUGAAAUCCGUAGAUAUCGGGAGGAACAUCAGUGGCGAAGGCGACUAUCUGGAACAUAACUGACGCUGAGGAGCGAAAGCGUGGGUAGCAAACAGGAUUAGAUACCCUAGUAGUC
rnacentral:rRNA from 1 species